rnacentral:lncRNA from 10 species
AGAUGGAGUUUCACUCUUGUUGCCCAGGCUGGAGUGCAACGGCAUGAUCUCGGCUCACCUCAACCUCCGCCUCCCGGGUUCAAGCAAUUCUACUGCCUCAGCCUCCAGAGUAGCUGGGAUUACAGGCACGCGCCCCCACACCCAGCUAAUUUUUGUAUUUUUAUUAGAGACGGGGUUUCCCCAUGUUGGUCAGGCUGGUCACAAUCUCCUGACGUCAGGUGAUCCGUCCGCCUUGGCCUCCCAAAGUGCUGGGAUUACAGGCGUGAGCCACAGUGCCCGGCUGCUCUUGCCUUUUUAAUAAACCCAAAAUUUGGAAAAGAAGAAGAAAAGGAAAAAUUUACUAACAAUUCUAUGACCUUAAUCCAAAACUUAGCAUUUUAUUGUAUUUUUUUGAUUUCUACUUUUUCUCAAAUUUAAUAUUUUAGAUCAUACCAUAAGAGCAAAUUCAUACAGUUUUUCUCCAGUGUAAUGGAUGUCUUCCUUCUCUCCCUCCUGAUCUAUGUGUGCUUUUUUUCCUGUCCUGUGCCUUGGGAGGCUGAUGGGUACAGAUGACCUCAAAUGUGUGCUUGCCCUCCAGCUUUGCCAUGCGGGGGACCUGAGCUGGUUAUUGGAGAGGAGAAAUGGUAUUAGAAUAUUUAUUCUGCUGGAUCCCUCCAUAUGGGGUGGCUUUGAGAUGGUGUGUCCCUUGGUUUAAAGAAGUCACAACCGCUGUCAUCGCCGACUAGGUGUCUCCAAGACACUCUUUUUCCAAGUUCUGGCAAUUGCUUUUUUCCCUCACCUCAUUAGGCUUAGAGCUAGUGACAGCUCUCCUGUUACUAGCUCUGGGGUACAGCACUAUCUCAGAUGGUUUCCUAUUCUCUGUACACUCUUUGUAAAUUGAUUAUUUCCUGAACCUGUAUCAAAUUAUUCCAGGUUGACUUUAUCAUCUGUUUCCUUUUAGAACCCUGAAUGAUAUUUGUAAUAAUACAAUAUAAAGCCUGGAUGAAUGCAUCAUAAUUGACUCAAUUUUUUUCCUAUUAGUGUUAUUUAUAAUUAUUUAUUAGUUUAAUGCUAUAGCAAACCUUUUGCCAAUGGCUCAUUCUCUCCUCUUCUGUUUCUUCCUUUUCCUAACAUUUAAAAAAAUUUUUGCGGCUGGGUACGGUGGCUCACACCUGUAACCCCAGCACUGUGGGACACCAAGACGGAUCACGUGAGGUCAGGAGUUCGAGACCAGUCUGGCCAACAUGGUGAAACUUUGUCUCUACUAAAAAUAUAAAAAAAAUUAGCUGGGUGUGGUGGUGGGUGCCUGUAAUCCCAGCUACUUGGGGGAGGCUGAGGCAGGAGAAUCACUUGAACCCGGGAGGUGGAGGUUGCAGUGAUCCGAGAUCAUGUCAUUGCACUCCAGUCUGGGCAACUAGAGCGAGAUUCCAUC